GACGUAGGGCGCGAGCGUUGUCCGGAUUUAUUGGGCGUAAAGAGCUCGUAGGCGGCUUGUUGCGUCGACCGUGAAAACCCGUGGCUUAACUGCGGGCUUGCGGUCGAUACGGGCGGGCUGGAGUUCGGUAGGGGAGACUGGAAUUCCUGGUGUAGCGGUGGAAUGCGCAGAUAUCAGGAGGAACACCGGUGGCGAAGGCGGGUCUCUGGGCAGUAACUGACGCUGAGGAGCGAAAGCGUGGGGAGCGAACAGG
rnacentral:rRNA from 1 species